rnacentral:rRNA from 1 species
CAAUAGCGUAUAUUUAAGUUGUUGCAGUUAAAAAGCUCGUAGUUGGAUUUCGGGUUGGCUUCAGCGGUCUCGCUUUGCGUUUGUACUGCUGAAGCCUACCUUCUUGUCGGGGACGGGCCUACGGGCUUAAUUGCUUGGGGCCCGGAGUCGACGAUGUUACUUUGAGUAAAUUAGAGUGUUCAAAGCAAGCCUACGCUCUGAAUAUAAUAGCAUGGGAUAACACGACAGGACUCUGGCCUAUCGUGUUGGUCUGUAGGACCAGAGUAAUGAUUAAGAGGGACAGUCGGGGGCAUUCGUAUUCCGUUGUCAGAGGUGAAAUUCUUGGAUUUACGGAAGACGAACAUCUGCGAAAGCAUUUGCCAAGGAUGUUUUCAUUGAUCAAGAACGAAAGUUGGGGGCU